GGGUGCACUUAGAGUUUUGAUCUCUAAAGGGCGGGUUCAAGUCCUGUUUUUUUAGGAA
rnacentral:tRNA from 1 species